rnacentral:rRNA from 1 species
CCCUUAGAUGUUCUGGGCCGCACGCGCGCUACACUGACGAUGGCAACGAGUUUUUCCUUCGCCGAAAGGUGUGGGUAAUCUUUUGAAACAUCGUCGUGCUGGGGAUAGAUCAUUGCAAUUUUUGAUCUUGAACGAGGAAUUCCUAGUAAGCGCGAGUCAUCAGCUCGCGUUGAUUACGUCCCUGCCCUUUGUACACACCGCCCGUCGCUACUACCGAUUGAAUGGUUUAGUGAGGACUCCUGAUUGGCGCCGCCGCCCCGGCAACGGAGCAGCGGACUGCCGAAAAGUUGUUCAAACUUGAUCAUUUAGAGGAAGUAAAAGCCGUAACA